rnacentral:rRNA from 1 species
AUUGAACGCUGGCGGCAUGCCUUACACAUGCAAGUCGAACGGUAACGCGGGGCAACCUGGCGACGAGUGGCGAACGGGUGAGUAAAGUAUCGGAACGUGCCCAGUAGUGGGGGAUAGUCCGGCGAAAGCCGGAUUAAUACCGCAUGAGACCUGAGGGUGAAAGCGGGGGAUCGCAAGACCUCGCGCUGUUGGAGCGGCCGAUAUCAGAUUAGGUAGUUGGUGGGGUAAAGGCCUGCCAAGCCGACGAUCUGUAGCUGGUCUGAGAGGACGACCAGCCACACUGGGACUGAGACACGGCCCAGACUCCUACGGGAGGCAGCAGUGGGGAAUUUUGGACAAUGGGCGCAAGCAUGAUCCAGCCAUGCCGCGUGCGGGAAGAAGGCCUUCGGGUUGUAAACCGCUUUUGUCAGGGAAGAAAUCUUCUGGGUUAAUACCUCGGGAGGAUGACGGUACCUGAAGAAUAAGCACCGGCUAACUACGUGCCAGCCGCCGCGGUAAAAC